GGCUCUGUGGCGCAAUGGAUAGUGCAUUGGACUUCUAGGCUGUGAGCUGAGCCAUUCAAAGGUUGUGGGUUCGAGUCCCACCAGAGUCG
rfam:Danio rerio chromosome 4, GRCz11 reference primary assembly.